UACGGGGGGGGCAAGCGUUGUUCGGAAUUACUGGGCGUAAAGGGCUUGUAGGUGGCCAACUAAGUCAGACGUGAAAUCCCUCGGCCUAACCGGGGAACUGCGUCUGAUACUGGAUGGCUAGAGUGUGGGAGAGGGAUGCGGAAUUCCAGGUGUAGCGGUGAAAUGCGUAGAUAUCGAGAGGAACACCUGCGGCGAAGGCGGGUUGCUGGGCUGACACUGACGCUGAACUGCGAAAGCUAGGGGAGCGAACGGG
rnacentral:rRNA from 1 species